GCCCCACUUAGUGUGCUAGUCCCUAGAAAGAGCCCUAGGCACCAGCUGUCACUUGAGAUGUGGUUCCCAGCAGGAACCCCGCCUCGAGGCUUUGUGAUAACUCCUAGUUGCAGAGCACCUUCUGGCGAGCAGCAGAUAUCCCACCCUAAAGUCUUAAAGUGACUCCUGCGAUAGCCAGAAAAAUUUUCCCUCCACUAACCCCCUCAUUUAAAUCCUCCAAUCAGUGUGUGAAUCGUGUGUGUAUCAUUUAAACCCUCCAAUUAGCGUGUAAAUUGUGUGUAUUAAGUAAAUUGUGUGGUUUUUCCCUUUAAAAAUGCUCGUUAACAACUGUUCGGGGCUUCUUCUUUGGAUGGCUUUGUGCUGUCCAGAGGCCCGUCUGCGCAGACAUUGAAUAAAUCCUCUUGCGUGUUGCAUCUACUGGUUUGGAAUCUGAAUCUUUGGGGUGCGCAUCUCGACAUGUCGGGAUCCUAGUUCAGGAACCCAACAGGAGGCGGUUGAUCCUGUUGAGUUGAAGGCACAACUCCAGAGCAGCCUUCUUCGGGUAGUCAGUUCCAAUGUCUGUACAAUGUACACAGCCCACAAGUGAUUUUCACCGCUGGCUCAUGUAGAGUUAUACACAGUGAGAGAAAGCGACAGAGAAAAAGGUCUUCCUUCUGUUGGAACCCUCCCCAAAUGGCUGCCAUGGUCAGCACUGCGCCGAUCCGAAGCCAGGAGUCAGGUGCUUCCUCCUGGUCUCCCAUGCAGGUGCAGGGCCCAAGGACUUAGGCCAUCCUCCACUGCACUCCCAGACCACAGCAGAGAGCUGGCCUGGAAGAGGAGCAACCGCGACAAAAUCCUGAGCCCCGACUGGGACUAGAACCUGGAGUGCCGGCGCCGCAGGCGGAUGAUUAGCCUUAGAUUUUCUAAACCAUUUCCCCCCACUAUAUUCAGGAACUCCUAAGACUUGUAUAUUUGGUCAUUUGAAGAUAUCCCAUAGAUUCCAAAUAUUGCUUUUUGUUCUUUCUAAAUCUUCCUUCCUUCCUUCCUUCCUCUCUUCCUUUCUUACUUCCUCCCUCCCUCUCCCUCCCUCCCUCCCUUCCUUCCUCCCCCUCUCUCCCUCCCUCCCUCCCUCCCUCCCUCCCUCCCUCCCUCUCUUUCUUUCUGAGUUGUUUCAAAAGACCUGUCUUCUAGAUUGGAUAUUGUUUCUUUGGCCUCAAGUCUGCAUUAACCCUUCCCAUUGCAUUUUUAUUUGACUUAUUGUAUAUUUGAUUUCUAAUAUUUCUGUUUGAUUUUUGGCUCAUUUUAUGUAUCUCUAUGCCUUUUCCGAAUUUUUCAUCCAUGUCUUCAUGUCAUGUACUGAUUUCUUAAUUUUAUUUAACUGUUUCUCUGUAUUUUUAGUACCCUUACAAUAAUUAUCUUGAAUUGUUUUUCAGGCAUGCUGUAAAUCUCCCUGUCUUCACAGUCCAAUAUUAAUGGAUUAUUGUAUUCAAGAAAUAAUAUUGACUUUCUUGCUUAUGUUUAUUAUAUUUGCUGAUUUUUGUGUAUCUGGGAUAUCUCUUGUUUCUAUCACUUCUGGAGGAUUUUUAAAAAUCAA